CCUGGUGGCUCAGAUGGUAAAAGCGCCUGCCUACAAUGAGGGAGACCCAGGUUCAAUUCCUGGGCCAGGA
rnacentral:tRNA from 1 species